UGUGCUAUGUUAGAAGACGUAUAGUAACUUACUUUCAGUAUCAGUAUGUAAUUAUUUUCUAAUCAAUAUUGAGCUAGUGACACAAGUAGCGACUGCAUCAUUUCAGAAUUUAAGCUGUGAGUCACUGUAGGUGUUGUAGUAAUCAGAAUCAGUAAUAUAAUAAUAUUAUUGUUCAUAAAAUAGGACUUUUCAACGCUUCUCAUUUGUUUGAAUAUUAAUUUAUUUACUAAAAAUUCAAAUUCCAUUAUGUUAUGUCUAACAGCUGAUUGUCAUUUGUCGAGUUUGAGCAAACUGACCUUGAAUUAUGCCUUGAAUCAGAGUGGUGGGAUCACGAUCAGUAGAAUGGUAGAAUGCUGACGUCACAAAAAUAAUUCUACAAUCGACAAUUUUGGUAUCACGUUAACACGCUUGGGAAAGUAGAAUCGGUGCUCGGCAAUGUUCGGAUAUUCUACUAGCCGUGUUAAAAAUAUCGCUUCUUCUUCUUAAAAAUAUUGCUGUUUGACGUGUGGUUGUCUUUAUUUUGUGGUGGUUGUAUUCCAAAAAGCUAACCUAAAGAUUAUUAUUUGCAAUUUGUUUAUUUUUGUCUUAUGUUGUUUGGAACUAUUUUAUUAGAAAUCACUAAAUUUUUGGAUUUUACCUGUGACUAGGGAACAUUGUUAUAUAAAGUCUUGGUAUGAAACGAUGUUAAGACAAUACUGUGUGCUUUUUCAGUCCUAUGAAAGAAAAUAUUUUGGAUGUAACAGAGAAGUACUACAACUUUGUUAUGAAGAUUUGUCUUUAUGUUAUUUUUAUAAUGUUCAUGGAUUAUAUUUGUUUUUAUGUUUUCUUCAGUUUAAAUAAAGUUUAUGUUUUACCCA